CGCGGAAGCAUGUUUCUAGAACCAGUCACUAUGGUUUCAGACUCAUUAGCAGUGCCAGGAGCAUCACUAGCAACGCAGGACGAGUCUGGGCACUGGGGGAUCCAGAGAAGAAAGAUCAGCACUAGAGCAGCUGACUGUGUCCCAGCAUGGGAGACCCACAUGGCCAUGGUGGCCAGGACCAGGGAAGCAAGGAGAAGAUGCAGAGGGGACCAGCAUGGGAUCAGAAGGUUCCUGAGCUCACCAUACAGCCAAGACCAUGGGGCAGACCAGAUGGCCCCCCGCCCCUGCCCCAAAGGCCGAAGUACUCUAAAAGUCCCUUCAGAAGGUAGGUUCAGCACAGGGGAAGUGGUCGGGGACCUCAGAGUCGAGGGGUUAAAUUUCUGUCAUUCAGCAGGAUGGGACACAAAAGAGAGAUCAAAUUGUUUUGUAGAAAAAUGCAGUUACGUAUCCUGGAGCCCUCAGUGUGGACCAAGAUGCGCACACCCUUAGCAGGUCACAGGGUUGAGGCGCAAGAUGGAGAAGGAGUGCAUGUGUUCAGGGGAUGGGGUGACAAGGACUCAGCCACCCAGUGAGGGUGACCAAGGACACCGAGAUGCCCACUGCAAUGGAUGUGAGUAUUCUGACCUCUGGAGAAGGGACAGUACUCUGGACUCGGAAUAGAACACGAAAAUGUUCUGCGGCCUGCGCAAAAACCCUCCAGAGCAUCCAAUUCCAUUUGCUUUGAUUGCAGCCUCACUCAGCAACCUUCUGACAGUUCACUUGGUUUCUGGGGGAACCUGGGGGGCAUUCUGGCUUACGGAGGGAAUACCCUCCUUUGAGAGUCUGAUUCCGGAGGUCUCGGGAGCAGGUUAAAUCAGGUUGCGUGUACAAGUUCAGGUCUCUGCUGUGCGCGUCUGGGAGCCAAGCUGCGUACCUUGAUGGCCUCACUGAGGCCCACCGGUUGUCAGCGCUCAGGUGAGAGGCAGAGUCCCUGUCAUGACCUGGCAGGACCACGGGGAUGGAAGCGAAGGGGGAACACAUGACAGCUGCCUGCCCGGAGUGCUCCCGGGAAGGGCUGCCUGGGCUGCUUCACCAAGCCACGUCCUUGAAGCCUGACAUUUCACUUUUAGGAAUCGUGAGAAGUGGGCAAAUGUGUGCUUAUGUGCAUCAGAGCCUUGUUUAUAAUCCUGGGGGGGAAGAUCAUCCACUUAACAACACUCUUGACUCUUAUUUCUUUUUAAAAAAGGCAGACUGCCGCAGAUAGCAGCUCAUUUGUAUGUGUCUGGAGUCCUGGGAGCUUGACUAGCCUACAUCCUCCUACAGACGGAGCCGAGCCCUGGUUUGGGGGUUCUAGCACAGGGAGCUCGGAUGCCCUCGAGCAAGGAGCCAUCCUCCUCUAUGGCAAAGGCCAGUCUCACUCCAGAAUCAUCUCAGUACAAGUGUAGAAAACCCCAUCCAGUCGUACAGGACAAUGUAACUGAGAAAGACUCAAACAGAAAUGCAACGGUGGCUCAAUAUUCGAAAUGCAUCAGCCAUGGAGCAGGGGCUCUUUUUUUUUUUCAAGAUUGUAUUUAUUUAUUCAUGAGAGACAGAGAGACAGAGAGAGAGAGAGAAAGAGGCAGAGACACAGGCAGAGGGAGAAGCAGGCUCCACGCAGGGAGCCCGAUGCGGGACUCGAUCCCAGGACCCUGGGAUCACGCCCUGGGCCGAAGGCAGAUGCUCAACUGCCGAGCCACCCAGGCACCCCUGGACAGCAGCCCCUGACAAGUGUGGAGGUGGGUGCCCAGAGAAGGUGCUCGGGCAGCUUCCCAGGAGACAUGACAACGUGGGAGCACAGCUCAGGGUGGGAGUAGAGCUCAGGGGUGGAGCAUUUGAGUGCAAACCAACAGGUGCUCGGUCCAGAUCCCGGUGUCUCUACGCAGUGGACCGACCGCUCCGGUGGAAGGACAGCCUUGAGACCCGCCAGGCCCAGCCUCCUGGAGUCUACAUUCCCAACAAGUAGUAGAGACUCCAGUGUGUUCUGUUUACCUCCUCAGCCACACUCAUUUCCUGAAGGGAGAGAGGAAAUCUGCCCUAGGCUUUUUCGGUGCUUCCCUCGUGCCUAAUUAUUACCAUCCUGGUUUUAUUUGUUUACACCAAGCUAGCUUCAAAAAAAUUGAAUCGGAGGCAGCUUGCAAUAAAAGGUACCAUAAAAGUCCAACCGGUCAAACAAGGAUAAACAGGACUGGUUUCCAUGAAGUAGCCAAAAUCAUGGUGACAAAGAAGCGUAAGGAUGGGUGUCAGGGGGCAGGGGGUAAGGAGUCAUUGAUUAAUGGGGUUUCAGCUUGGAAAGACGAAGGAGAUCAGGAGACGGGUGGUGUUGCACAACCGUGUGAAGGUACUUGAGGCCCCUGAACUGUACACUUCAACAUGGAUAAGGCAAUACAUAUUAUGUUAUGUAUCUUUUACCAUGGAUUUUUCAAAUCGAAGGGGAGAAAAAGGCAAGGGCUGAACAUUUAGGAGAGGAAGUAAGUGAUUAUUCCUGAGAGCCCAGGUUCGGAGAAGUGACUCUAGCUGAAUAUAAAACUCAUCUCUAAGCUUCCUCUAAUCAAACAGGAGUGGAAACAGACCAACUUACCAACAGGGUGAAAUAUUUCAUUAGCUCUGAAAAAACAGCAGGUAUUCAUAGGAGAGGUCUUGAUAGAUGGAAUGCUGGAGAGAUGGUUAUUGACAGGGCAGCCACGUACGGAUGCACAGGUUGUGUACUAUCUACAACUCCACCAAUUACAUAGGACCCUGCAGAUAUGCAGUAUAGUGACCUAGAUAUUGGCCACAUUUUAUCCCCUUUACAAAAAAAAAAAAAGUAGAAACUGUGAAACACACACAUAUGUAUAAAUGUGCAAGUGUGUAUGUAUGCGUGUAAGUUUGCAUGUGUGUGCGGAAGGGGGCAGAGCUCGCCAGUUAACUAGCCGAUAUACAUCCUUCCCUCUUUUAUACCUGGUUUUAUACCAAGCAGUAUGUCCCACCCAAAAGACCACAUUUCAUGGCCUCUCUUUGGCUAAGGGAGGCAAAGAGGGAUAAAAUGCAGUCAUUGGACAAGACUUCUGAGAAAAUUUUAGAAAAGGUUAUGUCCCUUUUUUGACCUUUAUUCCUGCUUCCUACUUGGAGCAUAGAUGUGAUGACUGGAGCACCAGCUGCCAACAUGUACCAUGGAUCAACCUUGAGGAUGGGAUCCACAUUUCAAGAAAGGCUGACCAGAGAGAGCUAAAAGGAGCCUGUGUCCCUAAAGACACCCUGGAGUGGCCAUGCCAGUCCUGGUCUGCUCACCUCCACACCCCCUUUACAAAAGAAAAGUGUGUGUGCCUAGCUUGUUUACACCACAAAGGAGAUGUGUUUAUACCACAAAUCAAGAUGAGUCAGAAGGCUCAAGCCCUUUCCCUAUCAAUGACCAACAAGACCAAUGAGUACUAGCUCAGUGUAGGUCUGAGUUACUCAUUAGAAGGAGGCUCUUCUAACGAGGCCAUGUCCUUGACCAGGAACUACCCCUGGUGCAGUCACUCGGGUGCUCCCAAGGCCUUCCCAGUGCUCCCAUGACAAUGUAUGGCAGCACAAGGAAAGAUCCCUCCAAGGGCGCACUUUCUGUGGUGCACCCGGCUCUGCCUGGUCCAAGCCCACCUCUCUAUGGAAUAGAGAGAGCUCAGGGGCACUGUGCAUCGGGCUGCUUCCUUGCCUGUGAACUCUCCCAGGAACUCCCUGUCUUUCCCACUAGAAAUGCAUGGUACUGUAGUGAGUCUAUACCAUCCGGCACAAUGACACUCUUGUUUCUGGCCCGUUGCUAAGCCACUGAACGCAGCUGCUAACUGGUGGGGUAGGAUUCUCCUGCCGGCUGGAAAAGGCAGCUGUACAGUGGGGCUCACAUAACUAUCAUCACAGAGUCAGAAAGUCAUCUCUGUAUUCUGGAGGAGUUCAUGGUCAGCACAUCCUUGAGGCUAGUGCCCAUCAGUAUAAGAGCUGCCAAAGUGAGCAAGAGCCUGGUGCCCUUCAAAGUGUUGUCCAGGGCCUCUCCCUCUCCCUCUGCCUGUGUCUCUGACUCCCUCAUGUGUCUCUCAUGAAUAAAUAAAUAAAAUCUUAAAAAAAAGUCGGGCAUGCCUGGGUGGCUCAGUGGUUGAGCGUCUGCCUUGGGCUCAGGGAGUGAUCCCGGGAUCCUGAGAUCAAGUCCUGCAUUGGGCUCCCCACAGGGAACCUACUUCUCCCUCUGCCUGUGUCUCCGCCUCUCUCUCUCUGUCUCUCGUGAAUAAAUAAAAUCUUAAAAAAAAAAAAAAAAGUGUCCAUAAGCUCUCUGUUGCUGCUUGGAGAUUCUGCAACAAUCAAGUGUUCACCAGCUCUGGCGCUGUGGGUCUCAAUGUCCACAAGCCCAAUGCACGGGUAUUGAGCCACGAUAGAUCUUAAGAAAAAUACAACUGAUCCCUCACUGCAGAGAGUAGGAAAAGCUUCACUCAGAGAUGCAUUUGUCAGCAGGGUGGGACAGAAGGCACUUCAGGAUUUAGCUCCCUGUGUCAGUCAGAGCCCUCAGGUCCAGCCCGCAGAAGCCAGAUGGAGUCUCAGAUGUACGUUACAAAUAUAUAUGUCACCGAGGAAGAGGCAUGGAAAAGGAGUCUCCAAGCUCACCUUCUAGGAACGAUGCCCCAAAGCAAGCUGCGCCCUCAGCAGACUGAGGAAACCACCAUGACCCCUGGCACUGCCCAGCACUAGGCGCCAAUCUGUUUCCGCCACAAACCAGCACAUGCACCAACAUCUGUUCCAAAUGCUCAAGGCCCGAAAGGCAGACACUGGCACAUCCUGACACCAUCCUGACACAGCCCCCAAAUCGCACACUAUAAAGGAUCAAUCUGAUUAUAUAAAAAUGUAAACUAAUAUGACAAAUUGAAAGGCUGGUGAUGAACAUUCUAGUCAUUGCUCAGCGAGCACCGACUUACCCCUGAGCUUCAUGUUCAGCCUGAAAACUAAGCCAGGUACAGAUGUCAUGGUCUCAGAUGAAAACUUCACUGAUCUUCCGAGCUGAUGCCAAGAAGUG
rnacentral:lncRNA from 1 species